rnacentral:rRNA from 1 species
AUGUACGCUGGCGGCGUGCCUAAUCCCUGCCAGUCGAGCGCACGGACGAGAAGCUUGCUUCUCUGAUGUUAGCGGCGGACGGGUGAGUAACACGUGGAUAACCUACCUAUAAGACUGGGAUAACUUCGGGAAACCGGAGCUAAUACCGGAUAAUAUUUUGAACCGCAUGGUUCAAAAGUUAAAGACGGUCUUGCUGUCACUUAUAGAUGGAUCCGCGCUGCAUUAGCUAGUUGGUAAGGUAACGGCUUACCAAGGCAACGAUGCAUAGCCGACCUGAGAGGGUGAUCGCCCAACAUGGAACUGAGACGCGGUCCAGUGUCCGAAGGGGGACAGAAGUAGGAAAUCUACCGCAAUGGGCGAAAGCCUGACGGAGAAACGCCGCAGGGGUAAUGAAAGCCUUCGGAUCGUAAAACUCUGUUAUUAGGGAAGAACAUAUGUGUAAGUAACUGUGCACAUCUUGACGGUACCUAAUCAGAAAGCCACGGCUAACUACGUG